rnacentral:lncRNA from 1 species
UAAUACAGAGGGAGGCAAGAAAGAGGAGUCAUUUGUAGCAUCAAUAAAAACACACGCACGCACGCACACACAAAGGUAAGUUUGGGAUGGAGCAAGGGGCGACCCAAGCCAGAAGCAAGGUCCCUACGGUCCCUCAAGCCGGAGGGUGACAGAGGAACGAGGGGAGAAGGGAGCCACCGGAGGCGGUGGCGGGUUCAACAGCUGGAGCGCGACUGGGAACCGCGAGACCGCGACCCACCUGACUGAGAAGCGCUGGGCUGGACGGUCCUGGCUGCCACCAGAAGGCUCCCCCAGACCCACAGUCCCGUCGCCAGCUUCAUUUUUGGCAAGUCUCAGAUCCCGCGCUGACAAUUACAUGUCCAAAUACCAUAGCCACUUGCGGGCACGCGGAGGAGAUCUCCC